UGGCGCACCGGGUGAGUAACGCGUGAGAAUCUGGCUCCAGGUCGGGGAUAACAGUUGGAAACGACUGCUAAUACCGGAUGUGCCGAGAGGUGAAAGAUUUAUUGCCUGGAGAUGAGCUCGCGUCUGAUUAGCUAGUUGGUGGUGUAAGGGACCACCAAGGCGUCGAUCAGUAGCUGGUCUGAGAGGAUGAUCAGCCACACUGGGACUGAGACACGGCCCAGACUCCUACGGGAGGCAGCAGUGGGGAAUUUUCCGCAAUGGGCGAAAGCCUGACGGAGCAAUACCGCGUGAGGGAGGAAGGCUCUUGGGUCGUAAACCUCUUUUCUCAAGGAAGAAGAAAGUGACGGUACUUGAGGAAUAAGCAUCGGCUAACUCCGUGCCAGCAGCCGCGGUAAUACGGAGGAUGCAAGCGUUAUCCGGAAUGAUUGGGCGUAAAGGGUCUGCAGGUGGAACUGAAAGUCUGCUGUUAAAGAGUUUGGCUUAACCAAAUAAAAGCGGUGGAAACUACAGAACUAGAGUGCGGUAGGGGCAAAAGGAAUUCCUGGUGUAGCGGUGAAAUGCGUAGAUAUCAGGAAGAACACCGGUGGCGAAAGCGUUUUGCUAGACCGUAACUGACACUGAGGGACGAAAGCUAGGGGAGCGAAUGGGAUUAGAUACCCCAGUAGUCCUAGCCGUAAACGAUGGAUACUAGGCGUGGCUUGUAUCGACCCGAGCCGUGCCGGAGCUAACGCGUUAAGUAUCCCGCCUGGGGAGUACGCACGCAAGUGUGAAACUCAAAGGAAUUGACGGGGGCCCGCACAAGCGGUGGAGUAUGGUGGUUUAAUUCGAUGCAACGCGAAGAACCUUACCAAGACUUGACAUCCUGCGAAUCCUGGUGAAAGCUAGGAGUGCCUUAGGGAGCGCAGAGACAGGUGGUGCAUGGCUGUCGUCAGCUCGUGUCGUGAGAUGUUGGGUUAAGUCCCGCAACGAGCGCAACCCUCGUUUUUAGUUGCCAGCAUUAAGUUGGGCACUCUAGAGAGACUGCCGGUGACAAACCGGAGGAAGGUGAGGAUGACGUCAAGUCAGCAUGCCCCUUACGUCUUGGGCUACACACGUACUACAAUGCUACGGACAGAGGGCAGCGAGCCAGGGAUGGCAAGCGAAUCCAGAAACCGUAGCUCAGUUCAGAUCGAAGGCUGCAACUCGCCUUCGUGAAGGAGGAAUCGCUAGUAAUUGCAGGUCAGCAUACUGCAGUGAAUUCGUUCCCGGGCCUUGUACACACCGCCCGUCACACCAUGGAAGUUGGUCACGCCCGAAGUCAUUACCCCAACCGAAAGGAGGGGGAUGCCUAAGGUAGGACUGGUGACUGGGGUGAAGUCGUAACAAGGUAGCCGU
rnacentral:rRNA from 1 species